rnacentral:rRNA from 1 species
GUCUACAUCCAUGCCACCCUGAACAAGCCUGACCCCAUCUGAUCUCAGAAGCUAAGCAGGGUCUGGCCUGGUUAGUACUUGUAUGGGGGACCACCGAGGAAGACCAGGUGCUGUAGGUG